CAAUGAGCUUGCCUCUAUUUUUUUAAACACCAAGUUAAAUAUUGUGACGCAAUGCUAAUUUUCGUUAGCCUGUGAAUGAUAUCUCACGUCAUAUAGGCUGCAUUCAGCUCACAAGUUUCCAGUAACAAAAGAUUUCAAAGUGAACUUUUAUUUUGUAUUUAAUCUUACGGAACUGAUCGAUUUUAAAAAAUUAUUGGGUCUUUAAAUAUUUAUUUUCCUUUUAUUGAAAUCACAUUUGGCCACAGUGAAGCACCUUGGCGCUUCCCGGAAAAAAACUCACAGUAACAUACUCUAGUAGAAGAGAGUUGUAGAAGCUUUGUUGCUUAUUGCUUGUUUUUGUCAGCGUCCAAAUACUGUGACGUAAUUCUAAAGGUGAAUCCCAUUUCACCCCUUGGCCCUACCCCUUUCCCCUUCCCCUCCGUUUUGCGCGUUCACGUGUAGGGGGAGGGCUGUCCCAAUUCACGCUAAUGUGCAGGGGUAGGGGUAAGGGGGAGGGCUUUCCACCCCUCCAAACGGAGGGCCAUGACUACCCUCACUCCAAACGGAGGGUUACGCGAAAUUUCCCAGGGUGCAAAGCGAUUACCCCGAGAAUCAUUUCCAAAAUGGCGGAGCCAAGGAAAGAAGUACACAAAUGGAGUCAAGCACAAACAAAGAGCCUUACCAGGUUUGAGAACCAAGAACGGUUCUUGAAGUCAAAAGCCUCAGCCAAACAACAGUGGGAGAAGCUGAUCAAGGAGCUGGGGCUGCAGGGGAAGAUGUCCUCCCAGCAGGUCUCCAAAAAAUGGGAGAAUUAAAAAAAAAAAAAAAAAAGUACAAGGAGCUGAAAACUCCCUGCUCUGGGGGUGGGACAGAUGAAGGCCAGGAGACCGCCACAACGUGGCAAUAUUAUGAGGAUAUGCACGCGGUGCUGAGAGGAAGGGGAGCAAUGGACCCUCCACUCUUGGUGGAUGCAUGCGCAGAGGGGGAUGUCAUCAUCCAAAGUGCUUUGAACGUCGCUGAGCCCAGAAUGUGCCACGUGCUGUUCCUGCUCCAGUCACCCCACCAUCUCUUCAUUUUGUUUAUUGAUGGUUGUCUUAUAUUCAUUUUUUUAAUCUGGUCAUAUUCAUACUGUUUAUUUUCUGUAGUUGCACCACACACUUUCAGACACUUUAAGCUGUAAUUUGCACUAUGUUCACUAUUUCUGAAAAGAAGCUGCUAAUAAAAGAAAUAACAGUUUGUGAGCAUGAUUAUCACAUCAGCAUCAUAUGAAUGAAACGGAUAUUGGUUUGAAGAGAUUUAUUUUGUAAAAUAAAAAUGUGAUGCAUUAUAUUAGAAUGUAAUGGGAAAAUGGGAGAAAAAGCGUGAAAAAAAAAAAAAAAAAAAAUCACCAAAAAUUAUAUACAUUGCACAUCAACACACGAGCCACCACGAUGUAAGAGAGUCCAUGUGCCAACCAGUAUAUAUAGAUCAGGACCUCCAGUUGCCCGUCCCAACCAUGGUCCUGCUCUCUCUGCAGCAGCUUUUGGACAGCGUUUAUGGCUCUUCUGCUGAGGUGUAGGUCCCACCUCAAGUCCGCCUCAACAUUGAAUCACAACCUUAGAACAGGCAUAUUAUGUCCAACCGGCAAUAAUUUGUGGGAUGACCCAUUUGCUGGAAAGAAAAACAUGGAAA